rnacentral:rRNA from 1 species
GACGAACGCUGGCGGCGUGCUUAACACAUGCAAGUCGAACGGAAAGGCCCAGCUUGCUGGGUACUCGAGUGGCGAACGGGUGAGUAACACGUGGGUGAUCUGCCCUGCACUCUGGGAUAAGCCUGGGAAACUGGGUCUAAUACCGGAUAUGACCAACUGUCGCAUGGUGGUUGGUGGAAAGCUUUUGCGGUGUGGGAUGGGCCCGCGGCCUAUCAGCUUGUUGGUGGGGUAAUGGCCUACCAAGGCGACGACGGGUAGCCGACCUGAGAGGGUGAUCGGCCACACUGGGACUGAGACACGGCCCAGACUCCUACGGGAGGCAGCAGUGGGGAAUAUUGCACAAUGGGCGCAAGCCUGAUGCAGCGACGCCGCGUGAGGGAUGACGGCCUUCGGGUUGUAAACCUCUUUCACCAGGGACGAAGCGGAAGUGACGGUACCUGGAGAAGAAGCACCGGCCAACUACGUGCCAGCAGCCGCCGUAAAAC